CUCUGACAUCCUAAAAAGACCCACUGGCUCGUCCAUGUGGGAGAGCGUCUCUGAGGCUUCUCCGUGGAGCAUACGAAGAUGUUUGGCACUGUCUGAGGUCAUAUGACUGGGACCUCAUGUUGACACAGUGCCCGUGCAGAUCCUCCAGGAUAAUCUCUCUGUUUUAAGGUGAGGACACAGCAGGAAGGCAGCCAUCCACAAGUCCAAAACAGAGCCCUCAAGAACCCGGCCAUGCUGACACCCUGAUCUUGGAC